rnacentral:rRNA from 1 species
GGGUCAGUAGGUUGGUCGUGCCACCGGUACGUACUGGUCUCACUGAUUCCUCCUUCCUGAAGAACCGUAAUGCCAUUAAUUUGGCGUUGCGGGGAAACAGGACUGUUACUUUGAAAAAAUUAGAGUGUUUAAAGCAAGCUAACGCUUUAAUACAUUAGCAUGGAAUAAUGAAAUAGGACGAUCGAUCCUAUUUUGUUGGUUUCUAGGAUUGACGUA